ensembl:snRNA U4 U4 spliceosomal RNA
UUUCUUUUGCAGAGGCAAUAUUGUAGCCUAAGAGGUUUAUCCGGGGUGUGAUCAUUGCUGGUUUAAAAACUUUACGCAAUACCCCGCCAGGAUGACUUGAUAUACAGUCAACCUUGCCAAUUUUUGCCAGCUUUGGGAGAAG